rnacentral:rRNA from 1 species
GACGAACGCUGGCGGCGUGCCUAACACAUGCAAGUCGAACGGAGGCGGGAGUUAGGAUUGAGGGAACAAAAAAUUGCGCCCUGAAUCCUGAUUCCUUGCCUAAGUGGCGGACGGGUGAGUAACGCGUGAGUAACCUGCCCUUUUGAGGGGGAUAACAUCGGGAAACCGAUGCUAAUACCGCAUAAAAUAUGAAAUUCGCAUGAGUUUUAUAUCAAAGGAGCAAUCCGCAAAAAGAUGGACUCGCGUCCGAUUAGCCAGUUGGCGGGGUAAAGGCCCACCAAAGCAACGAUCGGUAGCCGGGUUGAGAGACUGAACGGCCACAUUGGGACUGAGACACGGCCCAGACUCCUACGGGAGGCAGCAGUGGGGGAUAUUGCACAAUGGGGGAAACCCUGAUGCAGCAACGCCGCGUGAGGGAAGAAGGUUUUCGGAUUGUAAACCUCUGUCCAAAGGGAAGAAAAAGAUGACGGUACCUUGGAGGAAG